CCCCCCCCUCCCCCUCCCGGAGAAGCAGGAUCUAGCCGCCGCCGCCCGUCACCGUGGCACAUGCUGCUUCCAACGUCGCCAGGUUACGGCCGAAGAGGUUCCCUUUUGCUCAAGCCCCCUCCUGGGAUUCAUCGAUGCUAAUUUGUAGCAAGAGGCUGCCAUCCGACCGCCACCGACGACGGACUUGAAAGGCCGCACAACCAGUCAUCAGAUGAGAGCUUUUCCACAGCAGCAACAAGCUGUCCAUCCGCCUACAUGAGCUCAUUCUUCCUGUGAAGUUGGCUGGUGAGAUUUUUCAUCUCUGCCUUCUCACUAAAUCUCACUACUAUUGUCUUGAAUGCAGGUUUCUUAAAAUUAAGUCUACUCCAAUUGGCAUGAGCAACUGUGCACCUAGCUUCACAUGGAUUUCUCAGCUCUUUUUUCCUAGAGAAUGAUUGUGACUUGGUGUAUAUUUUAGAUGGAGCAUUCACUCAAGUUCAGAAAUUCAGGAUCUGGAUUUGAACUAUACAUCCAAUUCAUCUUUUGUUCUUUUCUUGGAUGCUGGCGUGCAAAUCUCAUGACAUCCCUCAGGUCCAAUCACCUUUUGCAAACAAAUUGGUUCAGCUCAAAAUCAGCAUAGAAGAUGCAAACCCAUCUGACUGCUGUCACUUCUGUAGUUGAUUGCUUAAAAAGACUAUACGUGGAGAAACUGAAGCCUUUAGAGGUUGCAUACCCGUUUACCAAUUUUGCUUCCCCAUCACUGACAAACAGCAACUUCGGUGCAAAACCAAUGGUUAUGCUCUUUGGUCAAUAUUAUACAGGGAAACAACUUUGAUUAAGCACCUGUUAAAAACGAGCUACCCAGGUUUUCGGCUUUAUCUAAUACAGAAUACCUGAGUUUCAAUGUUAGGCACACCAUCCAUUUCAAUGGUAAGAUAUGCAAGGAUGGCUUAUUGUACUCACUAAUGGGGUAGCAUGCUGCCUUCAUAUACGGACCAAUAACACUAGAGUGCUAUGUCCAGCUUUAUCAGAUUUAUAACAUGAAUUAUUUUGUGAAGCUAUCCUAUUAUGUGAGAUUUUGAUAAUUGUUGUUACAUUUUA